rnacentral:rRNA from 1 species
GACGAACGCUGGCGGCGUGCUUAACACAUGCAAGUCGAACGGAAAGGCCUCUUUCGGGGGGUACUCGAGUGGCGAACGGGUGAGUAACACGUGAGUAACCUGCCCUUGACUUUGGGAUAACUUCAGGAAACUGGGGCUAAUACCGGAUAGGAGCUCCUGCUGCAUGGUGGGGGUUGGAAAGUUUCGGCGGUUGGGGAUGGACCCGCGGCUUAUCAGCUUGUUGGUGGGGUAGUGGCUUACCAGGGCUUUGACGGGUAGCCGGCCUGAGAGGGUGACCGGCCACAUUGGGACUGAGAUACGGCCCAGACUCCUACGGGAGGCAGCAGGGGGGAAUAUUGCACAAUGGGUGGAAGCCUGAUGCAGCAACGCCGUGUGCGGGAUGACGGCCUUCGGGUUGGAAACCGCUUUCGCUCAUGACGAAGCUUUGUGUGACGGUAGUGGGUAAAGAAGCACCGGCUAACUACGUG